rnacentral:rRNA from 1 species
AGCGGCGGAUGGGUGAGUAACACGUGGGGAACCUGCCCCUAAGUCUGGGAUACCAUUUGGAAACAGGUGCUAAUACCGGAUAAUAAAGCAGAUCGCAUGAUCAGCUUUUGAAAGGCGGCGUAAGCUGUCGCUAAGGGAUGGCCCCGCGGUGCAUUAGCUAGUUGGUAAGGUAACGGCUUACCAAGGCGACGAUGCAUAGCCGAGUUGAGAGACUGAUCGGCCACAUUGGGACUGAGACACGGCCCAAACUCCUACGGGAGGCAGCAGUAGGGAAUCUUCCACAAUGGACGCAGGUCUGAUGGAGCAACGCCGCGUGAGUGAAGAAGGUUUUCGGAUCGUAAAGCUCUGUUGUUGGUGAAGAAGGAUAGAGGUAGUAACUGGCCUUUAUUUGACGGUAAUCAACCAGAAAGUCACGGCUAACUACGUGCCAGCAGCCGCGGUAAUACGUAGGUGGCAAGCGUUGUCCGGAUUUAUUGGGCGUAAAGCGAGCGCAGGCGGAAAAAUAAGUCUAAUGUGAAAGCCCUCGGCUUAACCGAGGAACUGCAUCGGAAACUGUUUUUCUUGAGUGCAGAAGAGGAGAGUGGAACUCCAUGUGUAGCGGUGGAAUGCGUAGAUAUAUGGGAAGAACACCAGUGGCGAAAGCGGCUCUCUGGUCUGCAACUGACGCUGAGGCUCGAAAGCAUGGGUAGCGACAGGAUUAGAUACCCUGGUAGUCAUGCGUAACGAUGAUGCUAAGUGU